UGAGCUACAAGCUUAUUCUCCUGUUCACUCUCCAGGCAGCCCCAUGAGGUCCCUUUUCACCUGUUAGGAAAGGGAGUUGAACUAACUCGUCCAAGACUACAAAGACAUCACGUUAUUUGGGGGCAUUUUAAAAUCUUCCUACGGGACCUCUGGGCGACAUCCUCCCGUGCCAGCUCAGGUGCGGGUGCCUUUUUGGCAGGGAUGGCUGUUCCCUCUUUGUCCCCAUCUCCCAAGCAGGCAGGACACUCAGGACUCCCUAAAAAGUGUCUGGCGGCAGCAUGAGAUUGAAGCCGGGCAGACCCAGCUCGGUAUCUCCCCCUAAUUCUCAGGCAUGCAGCCUCGCAAAAGUCAUUUACUAUACCUGCCCUGCUUCCCCCAUUUCUAAACUGCAGAUAAUAAAAUUGAUCCACAGUGUUAUUUUCAACAUUGAAUAAAAUAAUGAACAUAAACUAAUUAACGCUGUGCUGCGCAUAGCCGGUAUCCAAUCAAGGAUCGCUAUUGUUAUUUCCAACACUCUUUGUACGUUUCUCAGUCACCACUGAUCAUCCGGCCCUUCACCUUGUGGUCGCAUUUCUGACUUUUCUCUCUCUAGUCCCUCCCUCCGCCUUCCCCCAUUGCUCUCCCCAGUGACCUUGCGCCCCCCGGGUGGCAGCGGCCCAGACCCUGACCUGCCUCCACCACCCAGCCCGGCGCGGCGUCCCCCAGCAGUGGAGCCGCGAGGUCACUCUGGGCUCCUCUCCACCCGAGCGAGACGCAGAGCCAUGCUGGGUCGCCUAACCCUCCUGUGGGUCCUCCUGAGCCCGGAAAAGUAAAGGUCAGUUUUCAUACCUGAGUCCGGAAUCAGCAGCAAAUCACAGAAAGAUAGAGAUAGAAGCUGAACACAGAAGGUAUGUCUUCAUAUUUCUGAAGCCAUGUGUCUACAUUGUGGAAUUUUCAAGGGCAAUGGCUGAGAGGAUGUGAGAACGCUCUCUGCCCCACCCUACAGACCAGGGAUUCCUUUCCAGGCCCUGAACCCCCUUACCUGGUCUGUCCAGCAGCCAUGGGGCAGGAAAGCCCAGAACUGCUCAUUUCUGUGGCAGAUCAUGACAUGAAGAGCCCGGGCACCUAUCAGCCACCUCUUCUUCUGAGAAACCGGAACCAGCCCCACCCUCCUGCCUCUGGCCUGAGACCUCCUGCUCCCAGAGACCUCACUCUCUCACCUUCUCCCCGGAAGCCAGCAGGGCCAUCGAGAUGCCUCUACUGCAAGCAGUCAUCUUCUCCUCCUUCUGGGCUUUUGGCCUUGGGCAGACAAAGCCGAAGCAACUUGAAAUAUCAGUCACCAGAGCAAGAGAUAAGAGUGCCCACAUACGUUGUAAGGUGACCAUUGAGGAGUUUGAUGAAGAAAUUAUACACUGGUACCGGCAGAAACCAGAUCAGAGUAUAGAACAUUUAAUAUAUGUCUCAGGAACCUUCAAUAGCGGUUCCUUAGGUGGGAAGAACAACAAAUUAGAGGCAAGCAAAAAUCUUGCUGCAUUCACUUCAACCUUGAAAGUAAAUUUCUUAGAAAAAGAAGACGAAGCGGUGUACUACUGUGCCUUCUGGACAGACACAGUGUUAAAGUUGCCAGGAUCAGCUACACAAGAACCAUCUCCAGGUCUGUGCCUACCCACGUCCUUCCCACAUGGCGACCACAGAGGCUGCACAGCUGGGCGCCCAGCCUGAGCCCCUCUCCCUGUGCUGUUCCCUGAACUCUGCAGGAAGACAUCUUCGAUUCUGCUUGCACAGUGAACCCCAUGGGUAUCGGCAAUUACGAUCCAAAUUAAAGCAAGCUGACACUAUUUCCUACCAAAUCAGGCUGUCUGGAAACUAUGGAAGUAAAGGCUGAAUGGUUUAGAACAAAACCCAUUUGUUAAUUUACUGUAGAGACAGAGAUUUCUGGUAACUUAAUGGUUCCAAACGGAGUCAGGAAAGGGGCAUACACAGUACAUAGAUAUUUUCUGUUGUAAUUAUUUUCUGAUUUUAUUCAUGAGCACUGGAAGUAUUCAGAGGUAGAAUGAUCUGUCAAACAUAAAAAUUUCAUGCCUUUUAUUAGUGUCCUGAGGCCGUCCUAAGUCUAGUGACCAUUAAAUGCCUAAGUUAACAAUUCGCUAUUUGGGCUGUGGGAGAGACUAAAGUACGAAUCCUGAACCCUAGGGGAAGAAGCUUCAGCUCACUCCACACUCGGGGCUCAGUGCUGGGCAGGACAAGUAGCUCCAGGGGACAGACCCCUGGGGACAGCAGGUGACUCAACGUGGUGAGUAUGCCUUGUCCAGGUUCUGCAAAGAAAACUAAAGAUUCCAAAUAAGGAUCAAAUGGUUAGAAGGACAGAUGAUACAGGCUCCCUGCAACGACAGAGGAGACAAAGGUAGUAUGCCUCACAGAUGAAUAAAAUGCAAAUAAUUACAAGAACUGAAUUCCGUGAUUGGCAGUUGGUAGUUCAAGGAAGAGUGAAAUAAAAUGUAACAUGUAAAACUAUAAAAACUCUUCUCACACCUCUUUGGAAUCCAUUUUCAAAUAAUGAAGAAUUUUGUU